UACGUAGGGUCCAAGCGUUAAUCGGAAUUAUUGGGCGUAAAGAAUUUGUAGGCUGUCGUGUAAGUUGAAUGUGAAAUCCCUGGGCUUAACCUAGGAACUGCGUUCAAGACUACACGACUAGAGUAUGUAAGAGGAGUGUGGAAUUCCUGGUGUAGCAGUGAAAUGCGUAGAUAUCAGGAGGAACACCAGUUGCGAAGGCGGCACUCUGGGACAAUACUGACGCUGAGAAAUGAAAGCGUGGGGAGCAAACGGG
rnacentral:rRNA from 1 species